GUUCUAUCAAACUAAAUGGACAUACAUAUUGUUCUUAGGUGAUUUUGUUUUGGAGCUUGACAUCAAAGGUCUGUGAAGAUUCCUCAAACGUUCCACAGACUAAAUAACAGCAAACAAGUUUGGAAUGACAUGAGGGUGAGUAAAUAAUGAUGAGAUUUUCAUUUUCACUUUAAAAAAAAUAAAACAUAUUUUUGGUCUUGUCGUGGAGGUCAGGCGCAGGUUUCUCAUGACCUGGAACUGGAUCAGUCUCACCUUUUCCUAUGAUCCCAUCAUGACCUCUUGUAGAAACACCUCCAAGUUAAGCGACUGCCCACAGGAAGUGAGUCCUUUGGGGAGGAAAUGGCUCCCAGAUGUGUGGAGGUGACCCGGAGCUCUGGUGAGAGAGGUGAGCGGAGGUCAGUCUUGAGGGAAGACGAGAAGAAGGACAACAGAGUGUCACAACCUUCAUUUUGGGAUUGCUAUCCCACUAUCCCAGAGGACAUCAUGCUUCGACUACAAGCCAAUAAUCCUUCCCUUCUUCUAAUGGAGCAAUACAACAAAAUGCAAAAUGCAAAAAAAAAAAGACCUCCACCAUCUAAAGGAUCUAAGAUUGUUCAGAUUGGAUCAGACUCUGGUUGAGUGGAGGGGUGCUGAUUUGUGAUCAGUGUUCAUUGACUUUGAUUAUGCAUGGACACGCAGAGGCAUAAGGACUGUACACUUAUAGCUAACCUAUAGCAGCUAGCCUGAUGGAAAAAAUGCUUCGUAGACUCACUAUAUUCCCUGAUAUACAGAUCUGAUCAGAGUUGUUGUGCUUGUCAUUAAUGCUGUAUAUUAGCCAACAUUAUUACUUCUGUGACAGUGUAACAAUUGUGUCAUGGUAUAUACCACAUCCGUCUAAAUGUAAAGGUUGUUACGUUUAAAAAAAAAUAAAGCUGUAAGAUUAAUUCUGCAAUAUGACUUGGUGAUUAACAGAUGCAUUAAAGGGUUAGUUCACCUAAAAGAGAAAAUUAUUUCAUUAAUCAUUCGUUCAUCUUCCGAACACAAAUUAAGAUAUUUGAUGAAAUCCGAGAGCUUUCUGACCCUGACAGCAAUGCGACUACAACGUUCAAGGUCCAGAAAGGUAGUAAGAACAUCGAUAAAACAGUCCAUGUGACAUCAGUUGUGCAACUGGAACUUCAUGAAGCUACGAGAAACUUUUUGUGUUCAAAGAAAACAAAAGUAACGUCUUUAAAAAUGUUUUUUUUUGUCUUCGACGUUCAUGAGAGUCAGAACAGCAGCUCCUGUGUCAGCAGCAACACACGCAUGCAUCGUGAUUCUCUCACCAAAGACCGACCAGGAAGAGAAUAAAUCGUUGAAUAAAGUCAUUAUUUUUGUUUUCUUUGCACACAAAAAUUAUUUUCGUAACUUAUUAAAGAAAUCAAAGUUGGGCCAGUGAUGUCACAUGGGCUAUUUUAAUGAUGUCUUUACUAACUUUCUGGGCCUUGAAAGUUGUGUUGCCUUCUAUGCAGUGUCAGAAAGCUCUGGGAUUUCAUCAAGAAUAUCCUAAUUUGUGUUUCUAAGAUGAACGAAGGUCUUACGGGUUUGGAACGACAUGAGGGUGAGAUUUUCAUUUUUGGAUGAGCUAUCAAUUUAAGUUAAGAGUUACAGUAUGAGAGGUACUUGAAAACAAGCACGUUCAUGUCUUUUAGUGCAAUAAAAAAAAUAAAAAAAACAUUUGAAGAAAAAUAAAUCAUUUAGCAAAUUUGAAAUUCACCAGAAAUGAAUCUCUAAAAGAUUAAAGUGAUAGAUGGAUGUGUUCUUGUUCUGCUCGUACGAGCUCUUUAGAAUCCAGACACCGCUAAUUAGUUAAUUAGAAUAAAAUGUCAGCUAAACUUGGUCUGCACAUAAACUUGCCAUUAUCCUGCUUAGAUUGAGGCUUCAAUAAAUAUAUGUCUGGCUGGCAAGAAAUAAGACGAACCACCUCACCACAAGAGUGCCACGCUCUGCUGUUUAGUACAUGUAAUUAGGUAAAGCAAUUAAAAGACACAUGUUUAAACAAAGUGCAAAACACACGGCCAUAGUGACCCAAACUAAAGAAGAGAAUAAUCUAGUGACCAGAUGAACCAGUAUUGGCGAUCUAGUGGCUUCAGGCCAGUCAUUAAUCAAGUAUUUCAGAUUUCUUUAAUUGUGUGCAUGUGCAAUAAUGAUUCAUUCUUAGAUGCUUCAAUAGAUGCAUGAAACACCUUUGAAAAUGUAUUAUUUCAGCAUAAUGUUAAACUUAUAAUAUGGCAUUAAGAGUACAUUUUUUUUCUUUUUUUUAAAGAAAUAAAGUGGCUUUUCCCAAGUUUUACUAGUUAGUAACAACAACAGCAAGUGUGUUUUGUUGGAAAAUGCUAGCAUUAUAGUCAUUUCUAGCAGGGACUACAGUUAUCUUAUUUUUUUCUAACACCAUUGCUAUGCUAAAUAAAAAGCGCAUGCUGUAGAUCGGAGUGAAUGUUUCUCAAUUAAUAGAAAACAAAUGAAUGUGUGUGAAUGGAUUUGAUUUAUUUCUUUCAGCUCGCUGGUAUUUGAGGUUCACAAAUCUUUAGCAGUAGAAUAUAGUGUACACACAAAAAUGACAAAGCCAAAUGAAAUCCAGGCAAACCAAAAAAUGCUUUUCUUUUAAUUAGGAAGAAAGAAACAGUAUAAAAUAGACAUUCUUUUCUCUACACAGAGAAAUAAAAGAAAUGGGAGAUAAACAAGGAAGAUUCGAGAAACAUACUUUCUGUUAUGCUUUGUUAAACAGAUCCAGUUAGUGGGGUCGACAGGUAAAGUACUUCAAGGCACGUAGGUGAAGUCUUUCGGUCGUAUGAAACUAUUUACAAUGUCCAUACAAGAAGGCAAAAGGGAAUAAAUGACAGAAUUAAGAUGAUGCUGGUUUGCUUUUACAUGCGCGAUGACGACAUCACGAGCUCUCCGUUUUACUUCAUAAAGGGUUCGGAGAGAUGAGAGAAUACAAGCGCUUUGAGAGGUAUAUCAAAACAGUACAAAUGCACAAAGCUAUUGUAAAAAUACACCACUGAAAUAGAGCUGUAUGUAAGACGCAUAUCAGUGUCCAUACUGCUAAGGAAUGUCAAGAUCUGUUUUCAGUCCCAGCGGUGAAACUGUGGCUAAGUGCUGUCGAAUUGUCGCUAACCAAGUUCCUUUCAAUUUGUCUGAAGACGAACAGGCCUGUUUUGUUGAUGGUGAAAUGCAAGUGCACUGUUUGAAGUACUAUAAAUACGCAGCAAGACCGCCGCUAGUUCUGAACGAUUAGCUAGGACUUCAUUAAUGAGUGAACGUCUGCAUCUGCUCAGUUUUACAACAGCUCUAUCUUCACGGGGGUCUGAUGGGCAAAGGCUACCCAGGGUCUUCAUGAAAACCUCACAAAACAUUGAUAAAUGGAUGGUGCUAUUUACAGGGAAUCAUACAAAUGUAGGACUAUCCACAGUGGUUUGGUACAAGGCAAGAAAGGGGUGAAUUAAAGACUUAUUGGUCAGGCAGGUGCUGGACACAGUAUCUGCAGAAUUACAGAAAGAUCGCACAAGGAACGCCUCUGUUAUUACUCCACAUGUUCCCAAUAACAGCAAUUUGCCAGGUCACGAUUGUUUCUUGUAGUGAACGCAGGAAAGCAUGUCAAUGUGUGAAUUUGGUUGUGAAUGCAGAGGUAAAGGUUUGUGCAGAGCAACACAAACUCAAAAAGAUUUGAGAUUUGGUGGAAACUUGAAGGCGAUCCGUCGGGGCGUUCAUUAAGCCGAAAGCACAACGCAAAAGUCAGACAAGCACCAUGAAGUGUGCUACUAGUCUAAUGUGACGUCCCGACCGUUGACCAUCCAGACGGCAUUAACGUUAAUGAUACUGAUACAGCAUGUGGUACAGAAGUAUUUCCAGAGCAAUAUUUUUGGCGGUUUGGCCCAUCAGGAUUACGCAACUAGAGCGAAAUUCUGUUUAGAAAUGAUACGGUUUUUGAAACCGAAUAUGCUGAUGAGUGGCACAGUAUUUAAAGAGGUCUGUCCGUUUUGGUGUGAUAUUAAUUUCGGUUAAUUGAUUAUGGCGUAAAUCUGAAUCCAAGCGGCUGAGAGACAUAUUUAAUACCACCAUCAACUUCAUCCACACGACUGGUGUGAAUUAGACAUCUGUGGAAAGCAGAACGCCAUCCAAAAACAAUGCAUCCCUCGUGAAAAAAAUGAAAUAAUAAAUUGUCAGUAAGUGCGCAGCGAUGAAAGAAAAUCAACUUGAGGCAUGUCUUCUCCACAGGUUAACAGGCUGGUCAUUUACCUCGUCCAAAACAACACGAUCAGUGAAAACUACAGACAACUGUGUUAUAAAAGAAAUUCACACACUGCCAUCAAAGUGGCCGCGAGAGCCCAUUCAAAUGUCGUUUUGUACUUUUGCUUUUGGUCAAUCGAGGUUUGAUUGUGAGUACAGAACAGAUAAAAGAUAUGACUGAUAGAUACAAAGGCACACACAUAAAGACAUCAUAUUAAAAUUAGUUUGGUCUAAAAAGAGACUGAGCUACUUUGCGUUACAGUUAGUCUAGGGAAAGCUUAAGCACUUCCUGUGUCCACGAUAUUAACUGUACAGUGGUCAUAAGGAUGCGAUGUCUGCACAGAAAUAUGGGCGUAUAUGUGUGUUUUUUUGGUGGGUGUGUGCAAUUAACUUGCUCAUAGCUGGUUUGUCCCUCUGGCCUUUUAAAAACACAAGGCAUUAAGUCAGAUACACAGAAUCAAUACAGAUAAGUAUCUCGAAGUUAUUCAAGUUUACAGCCUUCAUGCGGGGAAUGCAGGUAGAACGUAACUGAACUUGACAAGAAUGCGACUUUAAAGAGAAAAGAAUGUUAAGCGUGUAAAUCUAGAUAGAGAAUUCUAUUUUUCUUUUCCCAGAUGUCUGGAAAAUUUCACGGUUCACAUUAUGGAAUGCACAGUGCAAAAAAAAAAAAAAUUACAAAUACGAUUUAUAAAACCCACAGUUGUCGAGAUCGUUUUCUUCUUCUUUAGUGGUUAAAUUGAUUAAUAGUUAUGACAUCAUAGAGUGAAGCCACUUUGCGGUUGCCAGGUGCAAGGAAACCCCUCAUUUUCUCCCAGCACGGUCAGGGGUAGGAAAGUGGGGUGCCUUUAAAAAGGGUUAAAUAAUCCUCAACCGUUCCUGCAAAUCUGCUUUCGCAGCUCCAGCCAAAGUAAACAGUGUCUUUCGAGGCACCGGUGGUGAAUAUCUGAGCGACUGGUGUCCUUCAGCGCAUUAGUGAAUGUUAAAAACACACUCAUGCGUCCUAGUGUGUUUGUUUGUUUGUUUGUGUGGUAUGUGAAUGGAGAAGACGGCGUGGAUCCCAGAGCCCCGGCAGAACUGUGGCUGCGGGUUGUUAGCUUAGCCGCGCUGCGCUGGUGGUCAGUGUUGAGGUGGGGACUUGGGGGAGGGGCCUUGAUGAGGAAGCCACGCCCCCUGAGGCACUGCUGGUCUUGAGGCACGGCUCGUUCACAUGGUGUGGAGCACCAUUCGGUACUGGACAGUUUU
rnacentral:lncRNA from 1 species